rnacentral:rRNA from 1 species
AUGGCUCAGUCUCCAGGCCGCGCCGCCUCCGCCGUGCGGCUCUUCGACGCGCACUGCCACCUGCAGGACCCCCGCAUCGCGGUGGCCGCCCCCUCCCUCAUACGCGCCGCCACAGCCUCCGGCGUCGGCCGGUUCGCGGUCAACGGCACCUCCGAGAAAGACUGGCAUCUGGUGAAGCAGAUGGCCCAGGAGCACCCGGCUGUCAUCCCCUGCUUCGGCCUCCACCCAUGGUGGGUGCCGGAGAGGUCGCCCGAUUGGAUGGAUUCGCUCCGGCAGUUCUUCUCGGAGACCCCAGAGGCGGCUGUUGGAGAGACUGGUCUGGACAAGGGAUCGCAUGGAAAAACUAUUGACUUCGGAGAACAGGUUGAAGUAUUCCAACGACAACUUGAACUUGCUAAGGAAUUGGAGAAACCUGUUUCUGUUCAUUGUGUACGUGCCUUCGGCGAUCUUCUGGAAAUACUAAAGCAUACUGGGCCUUUCCCAGCAGGCGUGCUGUUGCAUUCUUAUCUGGGGUCUGCAGAAAUGGUGCCCGGCCUUGCAAAUUUAGGUUGUUACUUUUCGUUGUCUGGUUUCCUUACAGGCAUGAAAUCGAGUAAGGCAAAGAAAAUGCUCAAAGCAAUACCCUUGGACAGAAUUCUACUAGAGACAGAUGCGCCAGAUGCAGUACCAAAGUUGGACAAUGUUUCUCUAGUCACAGUCCCUGUGGACACUUCAGAUGCAGAUGCUGAAAAGUCUCACAGCGAUUCGACCUCUCAGGCGGCCAUGCCUUCAAAAGAAUCCUUGAACCAUCCAGCUAACAUCCACAUUGUUUUGAAGUAUGUGGCAUCCCUGCUUGAAAUGCCGGAAGCAGAACUCGCCGAGGCGAGCUACAGGAACGCCACCAAACUGUUCUCCUACCCUGGAUCCAAAGUUCAUCCCGAAGCUGAAACUGCGUGA